rnacentral:rRNA from 1 species
CCUACGGGAGGCAGCAGUAGGGAAUAUUGCUCAAUGGGGGAAACUCUGAAGCAGCAACGCCGCGUGGGGGAUGAAGGUUUUCGGAUUGUAAACCUCUUUUGUUAGUGAAGAUAAUGACGGUAUCUAACGAAUAAGCACCGGCUAACACCGUGCCAGCAGCCGCGGUAAUUCGGAGGGUGCAAGCGUUACUCGGAAUCACUGGGCGGAAAGAGCGCGUAGGCGGGAUAGCAAGUCAGAUGUGAAAUCCUAUGGCUUAACCAUAGAACUGCAUUUGAAACUGUUAUUCUAGAGUAUGGGAGAGGUAGGUGGAAUUCUUGGUGUAGGGGUAAAAUGCGUAGAGAUCAGGAGGAAUACUCAUUGCGAAGGCGGCCUACUAGAACAUAACUGACGCUGAUGCGCGAAAGCGUGGGGAGCAAACAGGAUUAGAUACCCUUGUAGUC